rnacentral:lncRNA from 1 species
GCUAGCUCCUACUGCCCCUCCUCAGCUCCGGUCAACCUCCCAGGCAACAGCUGGACCAGUACAGCCUGCUGCUGACGCUCAGGUGCUUCUCCCUGAGGGAUGGAAGCAGACCCUCCCAAAGGAGCAGCAAGAGUGGGUCAGUCGGGCCAUUUUCACAAGGGACAAGUAGCUCAAAUGUGUCCUGAAAAGCCAGCUUGAGCUGUGGUACUCCCUUCCUCUGCCUCCUAACAUCAGCCAUCAGCCUCCAGCUUCUCCCACCGCCUACUUCCUCCAGCCGUUCUGCCUCUGGAUGUCCUACCACCUUUUAAGUUUGUGUGCACCCAGCCACAGUGCAAGCAUCUAAAGCUCACAGGCUGUGGGGUGUACAAGAUGGUCUGGAGGGUGCUUGACGUGGAUGGCUGGUAUUAUAUGGGGACAGAAUACCUGGAGUGCCGCAUCUGUAAGAGGAAGCUAGCAGGAUGGUUGCUGGAUGUCUUGAACCAGCUUGGACGCAAGUCAUCGCGCUAAGUUCCCAGACAUCUUGACUUACAGCCCUCAGGUGACCAAGAAACUAGGGGGGGAAGCACAAGGGACAGCACCGUGGGCCACAAACGUGGGCAAUGAGUACGGCUAGUUGCUCAUUAAGGUCCUCACUGACAGCGAAGGAGAAGACCUGCUCAACAUGG